ACAGAGGGGGCAAGCGUUGUUCGGAAUUACUGGGCGUAAAGGGCGCGUAGGCGGCCUUCUAAGUCAGACGUGAAAUCCUCGGGCUCAACCCGGGAACUGCGUCUGAGACUGGAAGGCUUGAAUCCGGGAGAGGGAUGUGGAAUUCCAGGUGUAGCGGUGAAAUGCGUAGAUAUCUGGAGGAACACCGGUGGCGAAGGCGGCAUCCUGGACCAUUUACUGACGCUGAGGCGCGAAAGCUAGGGGAGCAAACGGGA
rnacentral:rRNA from 1 species